AAGUCGUAACAAGGUUUCCGUAGGUGAACCUGCGGAAGGAUCAUUAUUGAAUACACACUCUUAUACUGUGAACCAACACUCUUGAAUGACUGAAAACACACAACAAACACAACUUUUAACAGUGGAUCUCUUGGCUCCU
rnacentral:misc_RNA from 1 species